ACACCGGUCUUUUUCAAGACCAACCAUAAGAGUUGGAAUAAUUUU
rfam:Aedes albopictus isolate Foshan contig142841, whole genome shotgun sequence.